rnacentral:rRNA from 1 species
UACGUAGGGUGCAAGCGUUGUCCGGAAUUAUUGGGCGUAAAGAGCUCGUAGGCGGUUUGUCGCGUCUGCUGUGAAAACCUAAGGCUCAACCUUGGGCUUGCAGUGGGUACGGGCAGACUAGAGUGCGGUAGGGGUGACUGGAAUUCCUGGUGUAGCGGUGAAAUGCGCAGAUAUCAGGAGGAACACCAGCAGCGAAGGCGGCGCUCUGGGCUGGAACUGACGCUGAGGAGCGAAAGCGUGGGUAGCAAACAGG